rnacentral:rRNA from 1 species
AGCAGCCGCGGUAAUUCCAGCUCCAAUAGCGUAUAUUAAAGUUGUUGCAGUUAAAAAGCUCGUAGUUGAAUUUCGGGGUUAGUAGGUUGGUCAUGCCUCUGGUAUGUACUGGUCUCACUGAUUCCUCCUUCCUGAUGAGCCGUAAUGCCAUUAAUUUGGUGUUGCGGGGAAUUUGGACUGUUACUUUGAAAAAAUUAGAGUGUUUAAAGCAAGCUAACGCUUGAAUACAUUAGCAUGGAAUAAUGAAAUAGGACGUUCGAUCCUAUUUUGUUGGUUUCUAGGAUUGACGUAAUGAUUAAUAGGGAUAGUUGGGGGCAUUAGUAUUCAAUUGUCAGAGGUGAAAUUCUUGGAUUUAUUGAAGACUAACUACUGCGAAAGCAUUUGCCAAGGAUGUUUUCAUUAAUCAAGAACGAAAGUUAGGGGAUCGAAGACGAUCAGAUACCGUCGUAGUCUUAACCAUAAACUAUGCCGACUA